rnacentral:rRNA from 1 species
UACGUAGGGGGCAAGCGUUGUCCGGAAUCAUUGGGCGUAAAGCGCGCGUAGGCGGCCCGGUAAGUCCGCUGUGAAAGUCCAGGGCUCAACCCUGGAAAGCCGGUGGAUACUGCCGGGCUAGAGUCCGGAAGAGGCGAGUGGAAUUCCUGGUGUAGCGGUGGAAUGCGCAGAUAUCAGGAGGAACACCGAUAGCGAAGGCAGCUCGCUGGGACGGUACUGACGCUGAGGCGCGAAAGCGUGGGGAGCGAACAGG